UGAAGUUUAAUUAAAUUAAUGAAAGUAAAUUCUAUCAGUUUAUUGAUUAUUUUGAAACAGUAUUAAAAUUUUUGCAUGAAAAAGUAACCAUAUUAUGGUUGAAUAUUUUUUCGUUUCUUUUUCAUAUGCAUAUAAGUUUCAUUUGGCUGCCUACAUAAAAUAUACCUUUCUUUUGCACCUUGAUAUCUUUCUUUUGCUCAUUGUGUUUUGUGGCUGUGUUUUGACUGCUUUACAGUUAAAUUAUGUUUCACUGACAAAAGAUAUUGAUUCACUUCAUCCGUCAGUUUCAUUGAUUCUAUGACCAGUUUGCGAAAUUAAUGCGAAACUAGCGAUCCAUUUGCAUAGCUAAAGGAAUUGCCAUCGUUAAAGUUAUCAUUGGAAUACUGACUUUUGUUUCUGGCUGUGCAGUUUUUAAAGUUUCUUGAUUUAGUGGAGCGUUAGCAAACAAUGGGAAGAAUCGAAUGAAAAGUAUCCGUAAGAGUUUAUGUUUCCUAAAACAAUGAAUGAAUGAAACUCUGGACACAAUCUCCUUUAAAGCCAAUUGCCGUCAAAUGUAUAUGUGUAACAAUGCAGAUAUAUAAUAGCUUAUUUAACCUAAUUUGCCUUUCUAAAAUAAAGACAAAUUACUUAAUAUUUUCCCACUAUUUCCCUUAAAUAUGUCAGCAUAUAUUCAGAAUUUUCCUACCUACAAAAUAUAUUUGAUUAAUGCACAAAAUGUUCAGAGCUACCCUAUCAUAUAUUUUCUCAUUCAAUAAAUCCUGGAACACAUAAUAUGCCCAAGAAUCCCAUAAACACCCACCACAGAAUACUUAGCAUAGUUGUAGACGACCCCUUUGCGGCAGGUCAAGAGCUCAAUCAAAAAAUUAUGCAAACUAAGGUCAUCCAGCCGAGCAGACGCAAGCCAGACAAGUUCGACCGUAUUUGCAUGAAAUUUUUUUACGUUUUUUUUUCCAUGACCAUAUCCUUUAGCCACGCACUUGGCAUAAUUAAUAAGCCAAGCGUUUCCAACCCAAAAACCCCAGUGACAAAAUAAAGUCACAGUCAUUGUUGGUCCUUAGACAAAAAUUUACAUGAUAAUUAGGUGGCGGCGCUAAAUAACAACAGCGAGUGAGUAAAAAACAAAAAAGAAACGCUGGUAUUUAAAUUUCAAAUGUCGAAGCGAAGGAAGAAAUCCUGUUUCUGCUGGCCAUCCUCCCUCGGUGAUUCUGUCACUUUUUUAUGCUUUUCGUUUUUUGUCCAUAUGCUAAAUGCGCACGCGCCGCGUUUUUGGUUUUUGUGGCCAGCAAAGGACUUGUUGCAUAAUUAUGCGCCGCAUGCGAGUAAAUAAAAAACGAUGCGAUGGUAAAAAAUGAUCAGGAAAAUAUACAUAUAUACAACUAAGCGUUGCGUUUAUGAAUGGAAGAUAUCUCGUGGCGGCCGCGUCCAUGGCGCCGUUGAUUUGGAUGAUAAUGAGCUCGAUUAGCAUUUCGACUGCAUUUUUAUAUGGCCAUCUACCAUCUACCCGUCUCCCUCUCCGGUCGGCUGUCUCUAUCUCACACCUCGUUUUCGGGCCGCACUUGUUUAUAAUUAUUAGCAUAAUUUUCUUUCUUAUUUUGCAUUAAUUUGCCAUCCCGACCGGCAAACGAGUGCGAGUGCGAGCGAGAGCCGAAAACCUCAAUGUCUGCUUUGGUAAUUAAAGUGCCAUAAUUUCCGAAUCAAGACAUAUAGUAUAAACUGGUCUGCUUUUGAUCGCUUUGUUUAUCGCGCAAUACAAUUAAUGCACACUCACACACUCGAUAAGUAUGCGAAUCUCUAUAUUUGUGGGGUAAAUAAAACACGUCGACUAAUUUGUGGCAAAUGCAAAGUAAUUUUAUCGGUUUAAGCUGUAUUUAAUGCCAUUGAACAGGAUUUUCGGCAUGAAAAGCAUUAUUUUAUUGCAUGUGCCACUCGGCGGAGUGGGUGUAUCUUUAAGUGUUAGUCGUAACUCUAAUUUAAAUAAGGCAAAUUAAAGCAAAUUAAUAUAAAGAUACAAACAAACAAAGAAGCUUUAGCUUGGGCACACGUUAAAGUGUUUUAAAAUUAAUAUGUACAGAAAAUCCAAAAGCCAUCUAAGCAUUUGAAACAUGAUUCCCUUUAACCAUUAACAGAUAAUAUGAUCUUCUUUUUGAGCGUAACCUUUAAAACCCCAGAUGAUUUGAUGAUAGGUAACCCAAGGAGAAUCGAUUAAAACUCUCGCAUUCAAUUAAUCCUUACCUUGUCCUACCUACAUCAUCUUCAAUAUAAAUUUCAUGCAAAUAAUCCCACCAUCAUCCUCCCAACCCUUUCCAUCCUCCAACCUUCACCCCAACCCCAUUUCCGGAUCUAUCUAUUUUGCUCAUUUGCAAACAAACGUUUCAUUAGAGAGACACAUCGAAGGCAUCAUCAUCAGCUGCAAUCCAUUUGCGUAAAAAGAAGAAGCCUCGGACAACUCGUUACCAUAUGCCCAGCUCUCGAUUAUUUUUUGCGCGCCAAAAAAAAAGUGGAGAGACAAGCACUUAAGAAAACAACAGGAUGCAGGUGAUGGUUCCCCGAGCUCUCCCGAUAUCCCGCCAUUCCUGUGCGUCCCUCUAGCCAAGUUAUUUUAAUAAACUGCGCGACGUGCCGAGCAUUCUGAAAUGCGAUCAGUUUCAAUUUUAUUAUUGCCGCUGCUGCGGUUGCUUCUGCUUUUCAGCAUUUCUGCUUUUAGAUUAUGUAGUUCCAGCACUUGUAAGUGUUGUUAGAAGCCAGCCCCGAAGAGGAGUGCCCCGGACACGGCUGACCAGGCCCAACGUGCUCAUUUAACAGUAGCCAGCAAACGUUCACAUUUCCCUGUUGUUUGUACCUCUUUGUAUAAUAAUUUAAAGCGGCGUAAAAAUAUUUUAAUGAUAAGAUAUAAUGGCCGUUCAGCUGGCGGAGGCGCUUCGCUUUUGGCCAAGUCAAACGAGGCGUUUAGAAGGGCCUUUUAAGUUUAAGACCGGCGCGGGUUAGGAUUUUUAACUUUGUUUUGGCUAAUAACAUAAUAAAAACCUUUCGAAACGA